rnacentral:sRNA from 1 species
GUGUUGUCUUCUUGCCUGCUUAGGGGGCCUGGCGGCGGUGAUUUACACGGACACCUUGCAGACGGUGAUCAUGCUGGUGGGGUCUUUAAUCCUGACUGGGUUUGCUUUUCACGAAGUGGGAGGCUAUGACGCCUUCAUGGAAAAGUACAUGAAAGCCAUUCCAACCAUAGUGUCUGAUGGCAACACCACCUUUCAGGAAAAAUGCUACACUCCAAGGGCCGACUCCUUCCACAUCUUCCGAGAUCCCCUCACAGGAGACCUCCCAUGGCCUGGGUUCAUCUUUGGGAUGUCCAUCCUUACCUUGUGGUACUGGUGCACAGAUCAGGUCAUUGUGCAGCGCUGCCUCUCAGCCAAGAAUAUGUCUCACGUGAAGGCUGGCUGCAUCCUGUGUGGAUAUCUAAAGCUGAUGCCCAUGUUCAUCAUGGUGAUGCCAGGAAUGAUCAGCCGCAUUCUGUACACAGACAAAAUUGCCUGUGUCGUCCCUUCAGAAUGUGAGAAAUAUUGCGGUACCAAGGUUGGCUGUACCAACAUCGCCUAUCCAACCUUAGUGGUGGAGCUCAUGCCCAAU